rnacentral:rRNA from 1 species
AUUGAACGCUGGCGGCAUGCCUAACACAUGCAAGUCGAGCGGAUGAAGGGAGCUUGCUCCUGUAUUCAGCUGCGGACGGGUGAGUAAUUCCUAGGAAUCUGCCUUGUAUAGGGGGAUAACGUCCCUAAACGGACGCUAAUACCGCAUACGUCCUGAUGGAGAAAGUCGUGGAUCUUUGGACCUAACGCUAUCUGAUGAGCCUAGGUCGCAUUAGCUAGUUGGUUGGGUAAAGGCUUACCAAGGCGACUAUCCGUAACUGACCUGAGAGGAUGAUCUGACACACUGGAACUGAGACACGGUCCAGACUCCUACGGGAGGCAGCAGUAGGGAAUAUUGGGCAAUGGGCGAAAGCCUGAUCCAGCAAUGCCGCGUGUGUGAAGAAGGUCUUCGGAUUGUAAAGCACUUUAAGUUGGGAGGAAGGACAGUAAGUUAAUACAUUGCUGUUUUGACGUUACCAACAGAAUAAGCAACGGCUAACUUCGUG